UGGAAUCCAUAGAGAGAUACAUAAAAGGUAAAAAUGAAGAAGAGGUUGAUGGCCCUGUUGCACUACACUGUACGGAAUUUCUUCUUCAGUAGGUCCUUGGUCUCAGGAUAGGAAGAAUGAAUCCAUGGACCACAGAUCAGCGGAGUAAGCAUAGUUGCCUGAAUCCUUUGUGGUUACAUCUGGCCAGGACUUGGUGACAGAUGACUGGAUACCGUCCCUUCUGCUGGGGCAACCCCAGGAUUGUGCCGUGCUCCCCUUCUCUGCAGCACUUGGUUCUCCAGCUCUCACCUCUCCUCAACUGCUGCACCAAGAGACCUAGCUAGAUGCAGAAGGCUUGGCAGGUGGUCCAGACUGGCUGGCGCUGACCAAGCGGGUUGCACCCGCCCUGUAUCACCAUGGCCAAGGAAAAAUCCAUUGCAUUCAGAGGACUAAGCCACUCAUCUUCCAAAAUAUCAUUCACUUAUCAGCAAAGAACUCAGUAACCAGCAUCAUGGAAUAAAAGAGAUAGUUCUCCUCGCAGAAAUUUCUUGUGCCAUUCUAGAAAAAGAAAUUGACCUCUAAAUAUGAUCAGAGGGAAUGCUACAUCUUGGAUAUGAAGACCAACUGAAUAGAUUUAAAUUAGAAAAACAAAAUAAAUAUUUUAACCUACAAGCAAUUCAUAAAUAGAAACAUUUAUUUGCAGUCAUUUAAAGAAUGACCUUAUUCCUUAUAACUUGAAAUUGCAAUGUUUUUAAAGGGCACUAUAAAUCAUAUUCAAAACGAUCAUAAAGUUGUUUAUACUAUUUGAGCCAAACAUACCUAGAGGCAUGAAUUUUAUGAAAAAUGCAAAGGAUUUCUUAAAUUAUGGUUUUUGAGAAAACACUAAAGAGUUAUAACACUGUGAUG